UGUGUGCACCAUCCUUUAUGAGAUAUGUGCCAAGCUGCUGGUGUGUAGGAUGAAGCCCAUUCUUCCUCGACUAAUUUAUCCGGAGCAAGGGGGCAUUUGUCAGUGGGUAUAGCAUUACUGACAAUAUCCUCAUUACUCAGGAGUUCAUGCACGAGCUCCAUCAUUCUCUUAUUCGGUGGAGCCUCAUGAUGAUCAAGCUUGACAUAGAGCGGGCCUAUAAUCGCAUGAGCUAGGAUUUUUUGGAGCUGUUGGACUUUGGCUUCCAACUCAGAUGGAUCGGUCAGAUCAUGGCAUGCAUGC
rnacentral:lncRNA from 1 species